GGUAUGUGUGUGUCUCUGUCAUGGUGUGUGUGUGUCUGUCUGUGUCAUGGUGUGUCUGUCUGUCAUGGUGUGUCUGUGUUUCUGUCUGUGUCACGGUGUGUGUCUGUCAUGGUAUGUGUGUGUCUCUGUCAUGGUGUGUGUGUGUCUGUCUGUGUCAUGGUGUGUCUGUCUGUCAUGGUGUGUCUGUGUUUCUGUCUGUGUCACGGUGUGUGUCUG